rnacentral:rRNA from 1 species
GAUGAACGCUGGCGGCGUGCCUAAUACAUGCAAGUCGAGCGAACGGACGAGAAGCUUGCUUCUCUGAUGUUAGCGGCGGACGGGUGAGUAACACGUGGAUAACCUACCUAUAAGACUGGGAUAACUUCGGGAAACCGGAGCUAAUACCGGAUAAUAUUUUGAACCGCAUGGUUCAAAAGUGAAAGACGGUCUUGCUGUCACUUAUAGAUGGAUCCGCGCUGCAUUAGCUGGUUGGUAAGGUAACGGCUUACCAAGGCAACGAUGCAUAGCCGACCUGAGAGGGUGAUCGGCCACACUGGAACUGAGACACGGUCCAGACUCCUACGGGAGGCAGCAGUAGGGAAUCUUCCGCAAUGGGCGAAAGCCUGACGGAGCAACGCCGCGUGAGUGAUGAAGGUCUUCGGAUCGUAAAACUCUGUUAUUAGGGAAGAACAUAUGUGUAAGUAACUGUGCACAUCUUGACGGUACCUAAUCAGAAAGCCACGGCUAACUACGUGCCAGCAGCCGCGGUAAUACGUAGGUGGCAAGCGUUAUCCGGAAUUAUUGGGCGUAAAGCGCGCGUAGGCGGUUUUUUAAGUCUGAUGUGAAAGCCCACGGCUCAACCGUGGAGGGUCAUUGGAAACUGGAAAACUUGAGUGCAGAAGAGGAAAGUGGAAUUCCAUGUGUAGCGGUGAAAUGCGCAGAGAUAUGGAGGAACACCAGUGGCGAAGGCGACUUUCUGGUCUGUAACUGACGCUGAUGUGCGAAAGCGUGGGGAUCAAACAGGAUUAGAUACCCUGGUAGUCCACGCCGUAAACGAUGAGUGCUAAGUGUUAGGGGGUUUCCGCCCCUUAGUGCUGCAGCUAACGCAUUAAGCACUCCGCCUGGGGAGUACGACCGCAAGGUUGAAACUCAAAGGAAUUGACGGGGACCCGCACAAGCGGUGGAGCAUGUGGUUUAAUUCGAAGCAACGCGAAGAACCUUACCAAAUCUUGACAUCCUUUGACAACUCUAGAGAUAGAGCCUUCCCCUUCGGGGGACAAAGUGACAGGUGGUGCAUGGUUGUCGUCAGCUCGUGUCGUGAGAUGUUGGGUUAAGUCCCGCAACGAGCGCAACCCUUAAGCUUAGUUGCCAUCAUUAAGUUGGGCACUCUAAGUUGACUGCCGGUGACAAACCGGAGGAAGGUGGGGAUGACGUCAAAUCAUCAUGCCCCUUAUGAUUUGGGCUACACACGUGCUACAAUGGACAAUACAAAGGGCAGCGAAACCGCGAGGUCAAGCAAAUCCCAUAAAGUUGUUCUCAGUUCGGAUUGUAGUCUGCAGCUCGACUACAUGAAGCUGGAAUCGCUAGUAAUCGUAGAUCAGCAUGCUACGGUGAAUACGUUCCCGGGUCU